ensembl:lncRNA TTC28-AS1 TTC28 antisense RNA 1
GCUUCUACUGCGGCUGCGCAAGCUCGACGCGCGCACUCUUGUCUGCUUACGAGGGCUCCUCCCUUCAGCUUUGGUCCCUCGGGGCGUCUGGGCAGCCUACGCUUUCCGGUGUGGAGAUGCUUGUAUCUGGGACCCCCUGCCAUUUCUCAGGACACCCUCCUGCUCCUAGCUGGGAGAUCCAGCAUCCUCAUGAAUGCGGGGCCCAAGGCCACCAACUGUUCCACCUGCUGUCAGCCAGGCCUGUUGCCCCAGCCCUACACCCACAGCUCACCCAGCAGGGACUGGAGUGUGCUGCUGCACUGCUGGAGCCGGUCGCCCGGGUCGGAGGUUGGGAAGAAGACAGCCGCUGGCAGGCCACUGGUUGGGGGGUCCAGCCGGAAGCCCACAGCGGUGAGGAGGGCCUGCCAGCCAGGGAUGCCGCCCACUUUGUUCUCCACACUCUGCUGGGAUGUGUACAUGGCAUUGCGCUGCCCAUUCUGGAUGCGCUGCAGGGAUUUCUCCACCUGAGGGGGAAUUGGGGUAAACACUGGGAUGCCGGAGCUCAGGCAUCCCAGACAGGAGGAAGUGUGUACUCACACCAGCCAGGAGGAAACAAGCCUGCCUGGGAGGACAGACGAUCAGCCCUGGCUGUCCCUCAGGAGCGGGGGGCCUCCAAGGCACACUGCCCACUGGGUCAAGGAGUAUCCAGGAGGAGUUAGAAGCAUGACCCAUCUGCCUGGCACCAGCACCUGGGGCUGCCAGGCAGCCACCCCUGCAGCUGUGUUGACAGGACCUGGCAGAGGGACUGACCCACCUUUGGAAAAUGACACCAGCAAUAUCAGGAUGUGUCAACUGGAUUUAUGCUAAGAAAAUAGGAUUUUUGGUGUUCCUCUGUUUCCCAAAGUUUGAGACACUUUCAGACACUCUGCUUUGCGGUUGUGGCCGAUGUUACCCAUGGGUGGGACUUUUGCUUUGCUCUAGAUUUUUGUAACACCCUGGGGAGUUUCAGGGGCCAAUGCUGAGAGAAGACCACAGGCUGACACAUCAUGAGGUAUGUUGGUAAAACAGUCCCGGCUGGCCGAGAGGCCACUGAGGGAACAGGCCCAGGGUUUGGUUUGUACUCUGUGAGUCUUGGCCUGGCAGGGUUUCCUGCAAAGCAGAGUCCUCUGAGUGGGACCCCAGGGGAAGCAGGUUGUUGCCUGGAGCUGAGGGGCAGCUCUGUAUUCAGGAGGGGUGCCUGCCUUCCCAUCUCCCCUGUGACCAGAUGUCACAGAAACAUUCUCUCUUUACUCCCUAGACCCUCUGGGCAGGUCCACUAAGAGCAUGUAUUCUAGAACAUGCAGGGCUUGAAGCUUCACAAGAUAUUCAGUGCACUCCUUACAGAUCCUGUCAAAUGUGGACCGGGUGGUGUCAUCGCACCACCAUCAUCCCCUUGUUACCCCUGAGAACACAGCUUCAGAGAGGGGCGGCGCUGGCUUUCAGGCCGUUCAGCAGGGAUGAGUAGAAGGCAUGGAUGAACAUCUUAGAAGCAGCCACUGGCACAGGCCACAGAGACACGAGGACACACUGAGCGCCGGCAGCCAGGAAGGCCCUUGUCAGCGCGAUGACCCCGUCGGCUGUGACUUUGCUGUUGGACUCCUGGGAGGAGCCAAGCACCACCAGCUUCACAGGCAGCUGCAGGUCCAGGACGUCGGCGGCAGUGCCUAACUUACUGAGAAUCAUGCCUGCUGUGAUGAGCCCUUGGAAACCAUCAGGACUGGAUGGUAGGGGUCCUGAGAGGAUUGGGGGAGGAGGCCUUGAUAUGACAGAGUGGACAGAGGCCGUGGAACCCAGGACAGCCAGCCUGCUCCACAAUCCUCAUCCCCACAGACCUUCAUGUGUGGCUCCUAAAUAAGAGGAAACCCACUCCUGAUAAGUCAGGGGCUUUGAAAAGUGAUUUUGUUUAAAUGGUGCAAACAAGCAAGCCAAUCUUGGGGAGACAGGGCUAAACUUAAGUCCUUUAAGAAGCUCUACAUACUGACAAGAUUCUAGUUCCCUUCCACCUUAUAUGCUGCAAAGUAAAAAGUAUCACUGAAUGAGAAAAUCAGCAUAAAGAAGCCCAAUAAUGUCUGCCUGAGUUUCCCCUAUGAUGACUUUUGGUACUUUUUGGGAAACAUUAAGUAUGAAGUUAUUUCAAAAUAAUUUUUUGGUGCCUCUGCUUGGUGAUGCCUUAAACUCUGGGUAAGAGAAACACCAGGUGCCUGUCAGGAGAUGGCCUUUUCCAGGUUUCUGGUUAAGCUACAAACAGCUAACUGGCUGCUGUCAUCAAAAUAAAAGCUUUCUGAAGGUGGAGGCAUCUGAUACCCAGAGUGCUGCUAUCAGCCGGCACGGUGGGCCGCUGGGUGGCAGGAGCGUCGAGAAGGCCAGCUCGCUUCCUAUCUGGGAUUCAGAAUCAGCUAUGGAAACUUGAGAGACCUAGAGAAAAUAACUUCUUUCACUUUGAACUGAUUCUUUGCUUCAUAAGAAAAGUAUUAUCCAGCCACAAAAAUGGUCAAAAUUCAGAUCUACAAAAGCCUGUCAGGCAGAAACUGACCCCACUUAGGCCACGCCAAUGAGCAAGUCAUCAAAGCAGCCAAGACAGGUCCUGUGGGGGCCACCCAUGCACAGGGCCCAGCCUCGGGUCCUAACCCCGCCUAUGCUUUCCGCCACCAUAAAGAGGCCCAUCUGGGUAAGACCUGUCCCGCCUGCUGUGGGGUAUUAGGGCAGAUGGGGUCUGAGGGGUCUGAGGGCUCUGAGAGCAGCUGGCAGCUCAAGGACAUCCGGAGUUGGAGGAUGGAGCAAUGCAGGCCCUUGUGGUAAAGACAGUCCUGCAGCCGCGCAGGCAGGGAUGCUGCAAGUGGAGUGCCAGGCGGGUGCGGAGCCCUGUGGGACUGUGGAGGGGUCAGAGGGAAGCCAGGAUUUUGGGGUCUCUGAGAGUUUGGAGAAGGGGAAGAAGAUUAAAGCUUGUUUCAAAAGUUUCUAAUCAGGUGGGCAGGGCCAAGGGUGGCUGUGGGGUGAGACCCAUGACUCAGGGUGGCCCACUGUUACUCUAUUGAUUUUUGGGCGUUUUUUUCCAAAUUGAUUAUUCUUGCUGAAUGAGACCUGAGUCCUUGACUGUCCCCUUAAAGCCACCUGACUUGUUUUCAGUUCCACUGGCCUGUCGGGCUGUUUUCUACUCAACUCCACUCUUGCUUGUCUGCCCUCCCUGCCUGGGGCCCAGCCAGCAGUCAGCUCAAGGGCCAGAUGAAUUGGGUGGCUGUGCUCUGCCCACUGGGCAUCGUGUGGAUGGUGGGUGACCAGCCCCCUCAGGUGCUCAGCCAGGCCUCAAGCCUUGCUGUGUACCUCAGAGCAGCUCCGUACCCUGAUGUCACAGCAAAGAAACUUAGACAUGACACAAACUGUGGCUUCCCAAGGCAGCAAAGAAUGGCCAGGGGUCAUGAGGGCCGUGCCCCACUUUUGGACAGACCUACUCUAAAGUCACGCUACCUGCGUGCAAAUCAUAAAAUCAACACUUUUGAGGAGAUCACAGCUAUGCCUUCGUAACACAGCCCAGUCCGACCAGAUAGACGGUGCCUCGUGACCCGAAAACAAGCCCCCGGCCCCCCACCAUGUGUGUGAGCCUUACCUUGGACUGCACGCUGAGGGAGCGGAUGGAAGGGACAGCAAGGAGGCCGAAGCGCUCGUAGAGGUACUCAUUGGAGGAGCUUCCCUUCAGGAGGGCGAAAGGAAUGAGGUAGAGCUCCCCCUCCAGAACCAGGAUGAGCUGCCGGUGCCGGCCCACGGGGCCGCUGGAGUGCAUCAGGCCCUAUGGAGCAAGCACGGAGAGGCUGACAUGGGUGGCCCAGCAGGCAGGGGUUUCAGGCACCAGGACAACCCUGAGCCCUAGCCUGGAUGACACAAGCACGAGCAGGUGAGGCCUGUGGGGGUGUGGGGCGCCAUGGGGCAUGGGCCGAGUUGCAGCCCUGCAGGAGCGGCACCAACUGGCAUGCUCGCUUGUGGACUGGCAAGGGCUGGCCUGGCAGCAUCCAUCUGCCUCACAGUCCUGAGAAGGUUAGAGGACAGUUUCUUGAAGUUCACAAGAACCUGAAGUGGGUUGGAGACCGGUCUGUACCGCACAGGCACCCUGAGAAGGGGUGGGAAUGGCCCCUCUCAAAACAAGAUCUGUUUUCCAUUUCAAUGGACAAGAGGCUAGAAAAUCACAGUGAGGACGGGAGGUCUGGGGGCUGGCAUGACAGCCCCUGUAGAAGGGGAUGGGCUGGGUUCUAGGAUCUUCCGUGACCUCCUCUGAGAAAGAGUGGCCCCUUGGCUCUGGGCUUGGGAGGUGCCGUCCCCACUUGUUCCCUCUGGGGAUGUCAGGGGACCCAAUGCAUGGAUGACUCCCAUCCCUCUUGAAAGGCCGAGCAUGAGGACUCGAGGCAGGGUGUGCACAGGGCCACAGCGGACACAGCCUCAUUCCUGUUCAUUGCAGAACAAGGCUAAGGGCGCGGGCAUCUUAAUGAGAGCAGCAGGCAACAAUCCUGGAAGCUGGGUCCACACAGACUGCGGUGAACAAAGAGGUGGCGUGGAAGCUGCUGCUGCAGCCCAGAGCCUGCCAAGAAGGUCCCAGGUCCACAGGGCCUGCGCAACACUGGGUGCCAGGGGUGGGGCUGGCCUGCCCCCCAACCCCAUCUGCUGAGGAGUGGCUGACAAGCGGACACCCACCAGGGUGCCACUCGCUUGUGCCUGGGGAAGCAAAUGUGCUCGCUUGACCCGUCUGAUGUGCUGCCGUGGGCACUUGACUGAGAGUGGCAGAGCACUAGGCUAACCCAAAGUGACACAUGCCUGGCGGGAUGUUCAGUCUCUGUAAACCCAUAUGGUUUUUUUUUUUCUUUCCUUUAAAAAAAAUUUC